GUUAUCGUUUCUAUGGUACAGCUCAAGCGGCAGGGGUAAUAAACGGAUUAAAAACCGUGUGUAAAUGUAAAUAUAUGAUAAAUAUAAGAUAUGGCAAAUUCUUUUAAUUAAGGAGACAUUUUAUGUAGCAUGUUUAUAGAAGGAAGGAGUCUCCAGUGUCAGCGCUUUGUAACAGUCAGAGGUGAAGAUGUAACUUUACGUUUUCGGACAUCUUCAGGACGUUUUAUUUCUUUCUCUGUAACAUGACCAGCUGCGUUUUUUUUUUUUUUUUUGCCUUAUUAACCUUGAAAGAGACAAAAAAAGAGAAUUAAUUACCAUGGCAACAGGGUGAUGAACAACUGGUGUGACACAUUAAUUACCACAGCAACAGGGUAACAAGUAACAAGUGUUAUAAAUUAAUUACCAUGCCAACGGGGUAACAAGUUUCAUAAAUUAAUUACCAUAGCAACAUGGUGAUAAAUAACAGGAGAGACAAAUCAACUAUCAUGGCAACGGGGUAAUAAAUUACCAUGGCAAAAAACGGUAUCAAGCAAUAGGUGUGGCAAAUUAAUUACCAUGGCAACAGGGUAUCAAGUAACAGGUGUGGCAAAUUAAUUACCAUGGCAACAGGGUACUUACUUACCAUGGCAACAGGGCAUCAAGCAAAUUAACUACCAUGGCAACAGGGUAUCAAGUAACAGGUAUGACAAAUUAAUUACCAUGGCAACAGGGUAUCAAGCAAUAGGUGUGGCAAAUUAAUUACCAUGGCAACAGGGUACUUACUUACCAUGGCAACAGGGCAUCAAGCAAAUUAACUACCAUGGCAACAGGGUAUCAAGUAACAGGUAUGACAAAUUAAUUACCAUGGCAACAGGGUAUCAAGCAAUAGGUGUGGCAAAUUAAUUACCAUGGCAACAGGGUACUUAACUACCAUGGCAACAGGGCAUCAAGCAAAUUAACUACCAUGGCAACAGGGUAUCAAGUAACAGGUAUGACAAAUUAAUUACCGUGGCAACAGGGUAUCAAGCAAUAGGUGUGGCAAAUUAAUUACCAUGGAAACAGGGUAAUUAACUACCAUGGCAACAGGGUAGCCAGCAAAAGGAAAUAAUGACCAUAUAAUAAGGAAAAUGAAGAGCAGACCAGGCACUGAGUACGCUGAGUCAAAAGAGACAGAAUCCUGAAGAUAACAAAUCACCCUUAUACAACAUUCAUGAUAAUAUUUGACACGUACAGUCAGUUACUGAAGUAAAAACAGUUUGCUUGGUCUUCGUCAGUCUGCAUCACGCUAACGAGAGAAGCUGUUUAUCUUCCAGAUAAAGUGCUUGUCUUUUUUUUUCUUUUUUCUUCUUUUACAGAUGGCCCCUCCCACUGGCUGACCAUAAAAAGCCGUUAUGCUAAUGAAGCCUGUGUGCCUUUCACCUAAAGCCCAUUAGUUUCCUUUCGUCGCCACGAGUAACAGGUGGGCGGAGUCGAGCUGUCAGUCUCCGAGCAGGUUCUUAAGAAACUCGAGAUUCCUGUUUUCUUUGAAGAAAGAGAAGGUCACGCUAACAAGCCGAGCGACUUUAAACCUCGGCCAAACACCACCAGACUGAACUUACUGUGGUUCCACAUGGAUACACACUCGCAACACAGUGUGUGUGUGUGUGUGUGUGUGUGUGUGUGUGUGUGUGUGUGUGUGUGUGUGAUGUUACACAUAGUGUGGGGCAUUAAGCUUCUGCCCAGGCAACCUACACACACACACACACGCACACACACACGCACACACACGCACAUACAGACACACACACUCUGAACUCUACUGCUAUAACUUAGUCACUUUAAGAAAAAGAGAAGAAAUCAGGUUUAAGGGGAAUAUUGAGAGAGCGAGAGAGAGAGAGGGAGAGAGAGAGAGAGAGAGAACAAGUACAUGACAGAUGGAGAGAGAGAAAAUGUAUAUGAGAGAUGAAGAGUAUGAAAGAGAGGGAGAGAGGGAAAGAAGGUAUAACAGAGCGGGAGACGG
ensembl:lncRNA